rnacentral:ribozyme from 21 species
CGUAGAAAAAAAGAAAGAAAGAAAAAAAGAAAGAAAGAAAGAAAGG